CCAUGACCUGUCCUGUUAUGUAGGAUGGAAGACUUGUGAUGGAAGACUUGUUCGAAGGUUCAGAUGCAUUGUCCAUGUCUCCACCCAAUGUGUUUAGUGAAGACCCACUAUCAUUGCCAUGUGGUUCAGAAAUGAUGUCAACCCCAAUUUCGGAAAGGAAUUCAACAAAGUGAAAGGGUCUGGUUAUUGGAGAAGGAUAAAUUUUUCCUAAUGCAGUAGCCCUUAGACAAGCACUAUAUAGGUACAGCAUUGCUGAUAAGUUUUCAUACAAAUUUGUUUGGCCCAUUGCGAAGGUUGUUAGCCACUUCUCUUCGGGUUGUCAACACCCACUGUUGAGGUUGUAAAUGAAUUGCUGUAGUAAAAAUCUACUGUAAUCCUAUUGGGUUCAAUUAAAGCUGUUAAUAACUUUAAAAUGCUCUUAAUUUUUUUUAAGGUCGUUAUAUAUGCUGAUAAUACAAUCUAUUUAGAAGC